UAAACGUAAAAUUAGUCUUAUUUUUAUUUUUCUUCGAAAUGUACAUAUGCUGAGAAAUAUUUAAUUCCUACUUAUUUUUAAGGAAAAAAAUUCAAAUACCACCCUUGUGGUUUCGCACUUUCUUACUUUAGUACCCUGUGGUUUAAAGUGUAUCAAUUUAGUACCAUGUAGUUUUAUUUUUUUUCUUUUUAUUAUCUAUUCUAUUAAUUUUUUUUCAUUAAAUCAGUGACAAGGUUAAAUUUAAAGGAUGUUAAAGUAAAUAUUCGAUAAAUUUAUGUGGGGUAUCUAAAGUUUUUUGUAUAUAAUUUAACAAAAUAUUAAAGGAGGAGAUGACGAAAAGAGAAAAAUGAAAUCACAUAAUACGAACUUGAUACACUUUAAACCACAGGGCAUUAAAGUGAAAAAGUGCGAAACUAUAGGGGUGAUAUUUGAAGUUUAUCCUAUUUUUAAACCAAGGGAUACAGUA
rnacentral:lncRNA from 1 species